CGCCAAUCAUAAUCUCCUCAAUCAACUUGCAAUAUCCAAGUUUCACAGAUUCGGGAUUGUCAAAAGUUGAAGCAAUUUCACCCCCAGUUACUAAAGCCAGACGCUCAAUACCAUCAAAAUCAGCAUGCUCAAUAGCAAGUAUUCCAGCAUCUGCAAAUAAUUCCUCUGGGAAAUUGUAGAUCAACUGUCUGUUAACAAAGCAGUUG
rnacentral:misc_RNA from 1 species